GCUAGAGUAUGUCAGAGGGGGGUAGAAUUCCACGUGUAGCAGUGAAAUGCGUAGAGAUGUGGAGGAAUACCGAUGGCGAAGGCAGCCCCCUGGGAUAAUACUGACGCUCAGGCACGAAAGCAUGGGGAGCAAACAGGAUUAGAUACCCUGGUAGUCCACGCCCUAAACGAUGUCAACUAGCUGUUGGGGCCUUCGGGCCUUGGGUGGCGCAGCUAACGCAUUAAGUUAUCCGCCUGGGGAGUACGGUCGCAAGAUUAAAACUCAAAGGAAUUGACGGGGACCCGCACAAGCGGUGGAUGAUGUGGAUUAAUUCGAUGCAACGCGAAAAACCUUACCUACCCUUGACAUGUCUGGAAUCCCGAAGAGAUUUGGGAGUGCUCGCAAGAGAACCGGAACACAGGUGCUGCAUGGCUGUCGUCAGCUCGUGUCGUGAGAUGUUGGGUUAAGUCCCGCAACGAGCGCAACCCUUGCCAUUAGUUGCUACGAAAGGGCACUCUAAUGGGACUGCCGGUGACAAACCGGAGGAAGGUGGGGAUGACGUCAAGUCCUCAUGGCCCUUAUGGGUAGGGCUUCACACGUCAUACAAUGG
rnacentral:rRNA from 1 species